rnacentral:piRNA from 1 species
UUCAAACCGAAAACUUAGCUUGCUGA